rnacentral:rRNA from 1 species
CCUUACGGGUGGCAGCAGUGGGGAAUAUUGGACAAUGGGGGGAACCCUGAUCCAGCCAUGCCGCGUGUGUGAAGAAGGCCCUCGGGUUGUAAAGCACUUUCAGUGAGGAAGAACGCCUGGUGGUUAAUACCCAUCAGGAAAGACAUCACUCACAGAAGAAGCACCGGCUAACUCCGUGCCAGCAGCCGCGGUAAUACGGAGGGUGCGAGCGUUAAUCGGAAUUACUGGGCGUAAAGCGCGCGUAGGUGGCUUGAUAAGCCGGUUGUGAAAGCCCCGGGCUCAACCUGGGAACGGCAUCCGGAACUGUCAAGCUAGAGUGCAGGAGAGGAAGGUAGAAUUCCCGGUGUAGCGGUGAAAUGCGUAGAGAUCGGGAGGAAUACCAGUGGCGAAGGCGGCCUUCUGGACUGACACUGACACUGAGGUGCGAAAGCGUGGGUAGCAAACAGGAUUAGAUACCCUAGUAGUC